AGUGAACGCUGGCGGUAGGCCUAACACAUGCAAGUCGAACGGCAGCACAGUAAGAGCUUGCUCUUACGGGUGGCGAGUGGCGGACGGGUGAGGAAUACAUCGGAAUCUACUUUUUCGUGGGGGAUAACGUAGGGAAACUUACGCUAAUACCGCAUACGACCUACGGGUGAAAGCAGGGGAUCUUCGGACCUUGCGCGAUUGAAUGAGCCGAUGUCGGAUUAGCUAGUUGGCGGGGUAAAGGCCCACCAAGGCGACGAUCCGUAGCUGGUCUGAGGGGAUGAUCAGCCACACUGGAACUGAGACACGGUCCAGACUCCUACGGGAGGCAGCAGUGGGGAAUAUUGGACAAUGGGCGCAAGCCUGAUCCAGCCAUACCGCGUGGGCGAAGAAGGCCUUCGGGUUGUAAAGCCCUUUUGUUGGGAAAGAAAAGCAGCAGGUUAAUACCCCGCUGUUCUGACGGUACCCAAAGAAUAAGCACCGGCUAACUUCGUG
rnacentral:rRNA from 1 species